CUACGGGUUGCUCCAGUGAGGAAUAUUGCACAAUGGGGGGAACCCUGAUGCAGCAACGCCGCGUGGAGGAUGACGCAUUUCGGUGUGUAAACUCCUUUUAUAUGUCAAGAAAAUGACGGUAGCAUAUGAAUAAGCACCGGCCAACUCCGUGCCAGCAGCCGCGGUAAUACGGAGGGUGCAAGCGUUACUCGGAAUCACUGGGCGUAAAGGACGCGUAGGCGGGUUGGAAAGUCAGGUGUGAAAUCCUACAGCUUAACUGUAGAACUGCACUUGAAACUUCUAAUCUAGAGUAUGGGAGGGAGAGAUGGAAUUAGUGGUGUAGGGGUAAAAUCCGUAGAUAUCACUAGGAAUACCUAAAGCGAAGGCGAUCUCCUGGAACAUUACUGACGCUAAGGCGUGAAAGCGUGGGGAGCAAACAGGAUUAGAUACCCGUGUAGUC
rnacentral:rRNA from 1 species